GAUGAACGCUGACAGAAUGCUUAACACAUGCAAGUCAUUGGCGAAGCUGCGCUUGCCCAGUCUAGCCAAGGCGGACGGGUGAUUAACGCGUAAGGAACUUGCCCGGCAGACAGGGAUAACAUACGGAAACGACUGAUAACACCUGGUAUUGUCAGGCUUGCGCAUGCCGGCCUGAUGAAAGGAGACGCUGCAGGAGAGCCUUGCGUCCUAUUAGCUAGUUGGUGGGGUAAAGGCCCACCAAGGCGAUGAUAGGUAGCCGGCCUGAGAGGGUGAACGGCCACCAGGGGACUGAGAUACGGCCCUUCCUCCUACGGGAGGAAGCAGUGGGGAAUAUUGGACAAUGGGGGCAACCAUGAUCCAGCAAUUCUGUGUGCACGAAGAAGGUUUUCGGAUUGUAAAGUGCUUUCAGCAGGGAAGAAGAAAGUGACGGUACCUGCAGAAGAAGCGACGGCUAAAUACGUG
rnacentral:rRNA from 1 species